GGGGCCAUCCCGGCUUACCAACCCGAUGCAAACUGCGAAUACCGGAGAAUGUUAUCACGGGAGACACACGGCGGGUGCUAACGUCCGUCGUGAAGAGGGAAACAACCCAGACCGCCAGCUAAGGUCCCAAAGUCAUGGUUAAGUGGGAAACGAUGUGGGAAGGCCCAGACAGCCAGGAUGUUGGCUUAGAAGCAGCCAUCAUUUAAAGAAAGCGUAAUAGCUCACUGGUCGAGUCGGCCUGCGCGGAAGAUGUAACGGGGCUAAACCAUGCACCGAAGCUGCGGCAGCGACACUGUGUGUUGUUGGGUAGGGGAGCGUUCUGUAAGCCUGUGAAGGUGUGUCGUGAGGCAUGCUGGAGGUAUCAGAAGUGCGAAUGCUGACAUAAGUAACGAUAAAGCGGGUGAAAAGCCCGCUCGCCGGAAGACCAAGGGUUCCUGUCCAACGUUAAUCGGGGCAGGGUGAGUCGACCCCUAAGGCGAGGCCGAAAGGCGUAGUCGAUGGGAAACGGGUUAAUAUUCCCGUACUUGGUGUUACUGCGAAGGGGGGACGGAGAAGGCUAUGUUGGCCGGG
rnacentral:rRNA from 1 species